AAUAUAAUGAUGUAGAGGAUGUUGAUCUUCAAGAGUUGGAUAGUUUUGAAGAAGAAUAGACUUUUAGAGUUCUAGUAUUAUCUUUUGAAUUAUUGGGUCUUUAAAGUUCUAGACUUUUAGUAUCUACUUUUAGUUUUUGAAUUGAAAUAUUUGCUAAUAUAUGUUAUUGCUAUUGAGAUUUUGGAUAUUUAUAUAUGCAAUUAAAUAUUUUUAAUUUUUGGUAUUAAUUGGCGCCUCAAUUCAAAA
rnacentral:lncRNA from 1 species